GAUGAACGCUGGCGGCGUGCCUAAUACAUGCAAGUCGAGCGAACGGACGAGAAGCUUGCUUCUCUGAUGUUAGCGGCGGACGGGUGAGUAACACGUGGAUAACCUACCUAUAAGACGGGGAUAACUUCGGGAAACCGUAGCUAAUACCGGAGAAUAUUUUGAACCGCAGGGUUCAAAAGUGAAAGACGGUCUUGCUGUCACUUAUAGAUGGAUCCGCGCUGCAUUAGCUAGUUGGUAAGGUAACGGCUUACCAAGGCAACGAUGCAUAGCCGACCUGAGCGGGUGAUCGGCCCCACUGGAACUGAGACCCGGUCCAGACCCCUACGGGAGGCAGCAGUAGGGAAUCUUCCGCAAUGGGCGAAAGCCUGACGGAGCAACGCCGCGUGAGUGAUGAAGGUCUUCGGAUCGUAAAACUCUGUUAUUAGGGAAGAACAUAUGUGUAAGUAACUGUGCACAUCUUGACGGUACCUAAUCAGAAAGCCACGGCUAACUACGU
rnacentral:rRNA from 1 species